UACAGAGGGUGCGAGCGUUAAUCGGAAUGACUGGGCGUAAAGCGCGCGUAGGUGGUUAUAUAAGUUGGGUGUGAAAUCCCUGGGCUCAACCUAGGAAUUGCAUUCAAAACUGUAUGACUUGAGUGAAGUAGAGGUAAGUGGAAUUUCCGGAGUAGCGGUGAAAUGCGUAGAUACCGGAAGGAACACCAGUGGCGAAGGCGACUUACUGGGCUUUAACUGACACUGAGGUGCGAAAGCGUGGGAGCAAACAGG
rnacentral:rRNA from 1 species